AACGCAGCGAAGGGCGAUAAGUAAUGUGAAUUGCAGAAUUCAGUGAAUCAUCGAAUCUUUGAACGCAUCUUGCGCUCCUUGGUAUUCCGAGGAGCAUGCCUGUUUGAGUGUCAUUUAAAACUUCUCAACCAUUUGGAGUCUCUCCGGGUGGCUUGGAAAAUGGGGGGAUGUGCAGGCCAGCAAUGGUCUGCUCCCCUGAAAUGAAUUAGUGGCAUCUGAGCAGAGACUACCACAGGUGUGAUAACUAUUGAUCAAUGCCUUGGUAUAUACUGCAGGUUGUUGCUGCUUCUAAUGUAAUGACCCAUUGACAAACUUGACCUCAAAUCAGGUAGGACUACCCGCUGAACUUAA
rnacentral:rRNA from 1 species